rnacentral:rRNA from 1 species
UACGGGGGGGGUAAGCGUUGUUCGGAAUUACUGGGCGUAAAGGGCUCGUAGGCGGCCAACUAAGUCGGACGUGAAAUCCCCAGGCUCAACCUGGGAACUGCGUCCGAUACUGGAUGGCUUGAAUCCGGGAGAGGGAUGCAGAAUUCCAGGUGUAGCGGUGAAAUGCGUAGAUAUCUGGAGGAAUACCGGUGGCGAAGGCGGCCCCCUGGUUGGAUACUGACGCUGAUACGCGAAAGCGUGGGGAGCAAACAGG